rnacentral:rRNA from 1 species
UCCGUAGGCGGGCCGAUAAGUCAGGGGUGAAAGUUUGCAGCUCAACUGUAAAAUUGCCUUUGAUACUGUUGGUCUUGAGUUAUAGUGAAGUUGCCGGAAUAUGUAGUGUAGCGGUGAAAUGCAUAGAUAUUACAUAGAACACCGAUUGCGAAGGCAGGUGACUAACUAUAUACUGACGCUGAUGGACGAAAGCGUGGGGAGCGAACAGGAUUAGAUACCCUGGUAGUCC